rnacentral:rRNA from 1 species
UACGUAGGUGGCAAGCGUUGUCCGGAUUUACUGGGCGUAAAGGGCGUGCAGGCGGUUUGUCUAGUCUAGGGUGAAAGCUCCCGGCUUAACUGGGAGAGGCCCUUGGAUACUGGCAAACUUGAGGGAGGCAGAGGAAAGUGGAAUUCCCGGUGUAGUGGUGAUAUGCGUAGAUAUCGGGAGGAACACCAGUGGCGAAGGCGGCUUUCUGGGCCUUACCUGACGCUGAGACGGCGAAAGCGUGGGGAGCGAACCGGG